ensembl:rRNA 5S_rRNA 5S ribosomal RNA
CUAUGUGGCUAUGCCGGACUGAAAACACUUCAUCUUGACUGGUCUUUAAAACCUAAACAGUCCUAGGCCUGGCUAGUACUAGAAUGGCAGACCAUGUUGGCAUCCCAGAUGCUGCAGGUA